rnacentral:rRNA from 1 species
GAUAUUUCGUAAACGGGGGGACCCUGACGCAGCGACCCCGCGUGAGCGAAGAAGGACUUCGGGUCGUAACGCCCUGUCCUCCGGGAAGAAGAAAGUGACGAUAGCGGAGAAGAAAGCCACGGGUAACUACGUGCCAGCAGCCGCGGUAAUACGUAGGUGGCAAGCGUUGUCCGGAAAUAUUGGGCGUAGAGCGAGCGCAGGCGGGCCUUUAAGUCUGAUGUGAAAGCACACGGCUCAACCGUGGAGGGGCAUUGGAAACUGGGGGACUUGAGUGCAGAAGAGGAAAGUGGAAUUCCAAGUGUAGCGGUGAAAUGCGUAGAGAUUUGGUGGAACACCAGUGGCGAAGGCAACGUUCUGGUCUGUAACUGACGCUGAGGCGCGAAAGCGUGGGGAGCAAACA